UUUAAUUGAAGAGUUUGAUCAUGGCUCAGAUUGAACGCUGGCGGCAGGCCUAACACAUGCAAGUCGAGCGGCAGCACAGAGAAACUUGUUUCUCGGGUGGCGAGCGGCGGACGGGUGAGUAAUGCCUGGGAAAUUGCCCUGAUGUGGGGGAUAACCAUUGGAAACGAUGGCUAAUACCGCAUGAUAGCUUCGGCUCAAAGAGGGGGACCUUCGGGCCUCUCGCGUCAGGAUAUGCCCAGGUGGGAUUAGC
rnacentral:rRNA from 1 species